rnacentral:lncRNA from 1 species
CGCCGCAGGGUCGACUGGUCGGGGCGCACGAAGCAUCAGCUCGGCCUUGUGGCCGGACCGGGUGUCUCGGAAGGCGGGCUGAUCCCAGGCCAGUCCGCGGGAUUAGGAGUGGUCACCCUAAACCAGGAGAGGGCAGGGUGGGAGUGUGCGCGGCGUCGCGAUGCAGACUCAUCCGGAGGUCUCAGCACCCGAAAAUGUGGAGGGUCUUCAGAGAGAAAAGAAGCCUUAGGGGUACAGACUGCAAGUUAUGAAGUCUCCACCAAGGGGGGAAAAGUAGCAUCUGAACUGUCGCUGUGAAGAAAUUGUUUGCAGAUUCUGAUUCAGCACAUCAGGCCAGGUGUCUGAGCGACUGCAUUUCUCGAAAGCUCCCAGAGAUGUGCUGUGGCUGCUUUGUGUCCCAUCAUCCCCUGAGGAGCAGCUCUGAAUCAGUUCACUCACCAUCUUGGUCCCCACAAUUCCCACAGUUUUGAAAGAAAGCCAAGACCCUGGAACUGUAGCUCUCACAAUUUCUGAUACAUCUAAAUCACCUUGAAGGCUCAUUUUAGAAUGCAAAUUCCAAGGCCUUGACCUGGAAGAUUCUGAUUCACCACUGCUACUUCCCUGCAUGCCUAGACCUAAGCCUGGCUGUAGCACAGCUAUGCCAUCAGGUCCUCCCAGCUCCUGAGCCUGUCCUCCGGCCAUACCCCUUUGCUUGCAAAAAGCC